AGAGAGGUUUGUUUUGUUCAUGUGUGGAGAGGUGGUUGCAGUCAGUGAUGAUUUUACAACACGCUGUCUCCUGCUGUUUAAAGUAUUUAGGCUGGGAUGAAAUGUUUUCUAAUAAUUAGUGAUUUUUGUGUUUGUUUAUCACCUGCACGGAGUUCCUGGAAAAGGAAAGCAUCCCUUUUCUGUGUUGAAUUUCACACACAGAGCGGAGCGCGUCAGUCGCAGCUACAGACAAGUCGAGCUUUUCAAUGAGAUGAUUUACUGAGAAACAAACGCGUUGAAGCUCCAGCAGAGCUCUGCGCGAUUCUGAAAGACCAAAGUAAAGUUACUCCUUGCAAAGCAUGUUGUUUGUGAUCUUUCUUUAUCACACUAGAAGAAGUGAUGAAUAUAUUUGAAUGGGAAGGCUACAGUAAAAAAUAAAUAUUAGUAAAUAAUAUGAAAAGAGGAUUCCGCUACUAGACCAGUGUGAAACUCAAACCAGUGAAGAUGGACGGCAGCGUGUCCGUGUCGCUCUUUCAAGACGAUCUCGCCUCUACCAUCGAGCACGCAGUGAAAUCGGCUGUAGACACCAUCUUGUGUGCGAUUACUAAAGUUGUCGGCAGCAAAUUCACUGAAUUCAGAGUGGAAAUGGCUGGAAAGGAGAAAGAGAAUGAAAGUCUGAAGCUGAGAUUGGAAAUAUCAGAGAGCGAGCUGAAAGCUCUGCGAGGGUGUAUAAACGCUGCAGAUGCAGAUAUUAAACAGCAUUUAAUAUUUCAAGAUCCCAUAGAGAGCCACACUAUCCCUGAAUCUGAAGCACAGGAGGGGCCAAAGAUAGAAGCAGUUUACACACAAGAGGAGUCCUUUGAGCAGGAGUGGUGUGCAAGUCUAAUGCAGGUUACAGAGCUGGCAUGUGUUAAAGAUGAAGAGGUCCCUCAACAGGAAUGUGUUCCUAUUAAAGAGGAAUUCAUAGAGCAGGAAUGUGUCCCCAUCGCAGAGGAACUUCCUCAUGAAAAUCAUGUCUGUACACUUGAGGAGAACAACAAGCUGGGAUCCAACCUGUGUGAUGACUCUCCAUCUGAAUGUGAACUGGGAUUCAGAGCUUCUAAAGUAGAUGAAGGAGAACACGACUCCACUCUAUCACCCCAGUGCAAAAACUCUCCUAGAGGCAAACCACAGUGCAAGAAACACAGAGAAACGACACCCCAAGAAGAGUAUGUGAAGACAUUGAGAACUCACUCAGUUACAAUCCCUUCUUUACAAGACAGACACCCACUUACUGUGGAGAGUACAGAGACGCCACAUUCUGUGUGUUUUAACAAUUCUGAAACCCAGGGCAGCUUGAAGACCUUGCCUCAUUCUAUUAAAGGUGGGAAGAGUUCCUGUCAAUUAGACGUUCCUGAAACUCACAAGGGAAAUCCCACAGGAGGGACUACGUUUUCCUGGGCUGAUUGUGGGAAGAGUUUCAAUCAUAUAUCACUGCUUAAAAGACACCAGCGCAUUCACACAGGAGAGAAACCUUUCCACAUACAGACCAGUGAUAAGAGUUUCACGCAGUUAGGAAAUCUUCAUUCAAACCAGCACAUUCACACAGGAGAGAAUCCUUAUCACUGCACUCAGUGUGGGAAGAGAUUCAGUCACUUAGGAAACCUUAAAAUCCACCAGCGCAUUCACACAGGAGAGAAACCUUAUCACUGUGAUGUUUGUGGGAAGAGAUUUAGUCAGUUAGGAGACCUUAAUAAACACAAGCGCAUUCACACAGGAGAGAAACCUUAUCACUGUUCUGUUUGUGGGAAGAGAUUUAGUCAGUUAGGAGACCUUAAUAAACACAAGCGCAUUCACACAGGAGAGAAACCUUAUCACUGUGCUGUUUGUGGGAAGACAUUCAGCCAGUUAGGAAAUCUUAAAAGACACCAUAAAGUUCACACAGGUGUGUAAUCCUAUCCCUGCACUUAGUGUGAAGUUGUUAAGCCUUUAACCUCUCGGUGGGGGGGGUGGUAUAAAUUAUCGGAACCGCACAGUGCUUUAUACAGCUUACAACACAACUACUUGUCAUUUGGGUGAUUAAAUGUAAUUAAAACACAUUUUAAAUUAAGACAAAACCAGAAACUUAAUGUGUAUACAUCUGUAGUGUAAUAUAGUCCCACAUUUAAUUUAAUGUAAUUUAUUGUUAGCUUAUUAAAAAUAAAUUGCACAUGUCCGUUUAUUAUGACUUUCUGCAUCGAAAGUGGCAUCUCACUAGAAACUAGAGACUGAGCACACACUGAUGAUGGGCAGUUUCAAAUGACACCGAGGAAGUAAGGGGAGCAGCUGCCAUGGAUGCUGAAUCUGUAUCUUCAGGUGAGUUUUUGGUCCUUGUUAUAUGCGAGGUACACAUAUUCAAGUCCGUUUUCAUCCUUCCGGAUCUCAAAAGAUGUUUUUGUUAGUUGUAGGACACCCUCACAUCCAAGUCGUGCCAGAUUAAGUUGAAGAUCAAACCAGACUUUACGCACCAAUCCGACCGCGGUGUCGGGACAGUGCCUCACUUUCCCACAGAUGCUUCAGAUCCAGGCCGGUGGUCUGCUGUCUUCACUCAACAACUUGGUGUUGUACCAGUUAUCUGGAGUUUCAUCCCCAAAUAUAUUAAAGGAAAUAGGUGGAAUGUCACUCAUUUUUGGCAGUGGUUUUGUAACGAAUAACAAAUAAAAUGGCAGUUUGUCAUGGAAUUUAGAAUGCAGUGGUGCGUAGUGAUUUAUUCAGUGUGAAGCGGCUCAUUAGUAUGCAAGCCGUGGUAUAUGCUAUAUCUACUCAUGGUCAUGUGAUGCUGUUUAACCAAUCAGAAGAUGUGAUUAUUCCAAGCCGUGUUUAUAUAUAU